AUAAGAACAUCAGCCAAUUUAAGUUUUUUGGACUGAAAUGUUGUAAAUAUUUGUAACAUAAACCACAGACAAUUAAAACAAACCCACUCAACCGGAUUCAAAUGUUUAACAACACUAUAUAACCAAGUCCAAUUCAUUGAUACCGACAUAAUUCAUCGAGAAAGAUGAAAUUUUCACAAUAAGCAAACCCUAACACUGAACAUCGAUACAAACCCUAAACCCCCAAAUCUAAGAGCUGGUAAAUUUGGUUACAGCUUUCGUCCCCUCGGAAACGGCGUGCUUUGCCAACUCCCCGGGCAAAACCAAUCUCACCGCCGUCUGAAUUUCCCUGGAUGUGAUCGUCGGCUUCUUGUUGUACCUCGCAAGCUUCGAAGAUUCCUGAGCAAGCUUCUCGAAGAUGUCGUUGAUGAACGAGUUCAUGAUCCCCAUGGCCUUGCUUGAGAUACCGAUGUCAGGGUGAACCUGUUUCAGCACCUUGAAGAUGUAGAUCUUGUAUGUCUCCACACUCUUCUUGUUUCUCUUCUUCUUCUUGUCAACAGCACCGGCGCCGGCCUCCUUGGGGAGCUUCUUCCCGGCCUUUGGCUUCUUCUCAGCAGGGGCUUUCUCAGCUGGUUUCUUCUCCUCCACUGGCUUCUUCUCAGCCGGCUUCUUCUCUGCCUUUGGCGCCAUUGUAGGGAUUUUAGUUUGUAAAGAAAGAGUGAUGUUCUAAAAACAGAGAGAUGAUUGUUGUUCGUUGUGAUAAGGAAUGGAGGGAGAGUUGUGUUUAUAUACGGAAUGUGAGGCGUGAUCUGAUUGGAUGAUUUUUGUUGACGAGGAUCGUGGAUUAUGGCCGUUGAUUUCUUUUGAGUAGUUUCAGCGGACAGGAUUUAGUUUUCUAAAAGUGAGGUUGAUGCUGGUUUUGACGCGGAUCGACGUACUGGACGCUGAUGAAUUUAAGGAAGAGUAAAUUACAAUGUAGGUCCAUGUGUUUUACAUAAUUUAUUUAUUAGGUAUGAGAUUUAUAUAAUGUGUUUUACAUAAUUUAUUUAUUAGGUAUGAGAUUUAUAUAUUAUAUGGGUUUGUUUAAAGUAAUAUUAAAUAAAAAAUUCUAAGUUUGUGUUUAGUUAAGAAAAACUGUUUUUAUUUUUCGUUUUUCGUUUUUAGUUUCUGGUUUUUAUUGGAAAAUUUAGAAAACAUGUUUAGUUAAAACUUAUUCAUUUUUUAUUUUCAAAUUUAGAAAAUUAGAAAACGUGUUUAGAUGUGUAUUUUUCUAUCGGUUUUCAUUUUUAGAAAACGGUAGCGNNNNNNNNNNNNNNNNNNNNNNNNNNNNNNNNNNNNNNNNNNNNNNNNNNNNNNNNNNNNNNNNNNNNNNNNNNNNNNNNNNNNNNNNNNNNNNNNNNNNNNNNNNNNNNNNNNNNNNNUGGUGGUGGCGGCGACAAUUGUGGCAGUGGUGCUGAUGGCGGCGACGGUGGUGGUGUAACGGGGUAGUGAUAGGGUAGUAGUAGUGGUAAUGGUGCUGGUAAUGGUAGGUCAGUGAUUGUGGUAGUGGUGUUGGGUGGUUGUAUGUGUAUGGGUGUGGGUCGGAGGUAGGUGUGGGUUUGAGUUUGUGGGUGUGUGUUUGUAGGAGUUGGUGUGUGUGUUUGUGUGUGUGUGUGUGUUUAUGGAGGUUGGUGUGUGUGUGUUUUUAUGGAGGUUGGUGUGUGUGUGUGGAGGUUGGGUCCAUGAAAAUUUUAGAAAAAAUGGACGAACUAAACGCGUUUUUCAAAAUUCUCAUUUUUUUGAAAUUUUUCCGGAAAACGGGUCAUUUUUCCGCAACAAAACACACCCUAUACAUUUAGGGUUUGGUCAAGUUGUGGAGUUUGGAGGCCAUGGAGGGGUAAAAUUGUAUUUUACCCUCUUGGGGUCUAGUAAAGAGACUUAGCCAACAUCUUUGAGGUUUGUUGAUAUCGAUUCUAAUUAGAGAUAUAUGUAACAUAUGUUAGGCGGAGUCUAGACCGGUAGUUUGGGCAUGGGAUUUACUUGCUUUGCUUCACGAGGCGAGUCUUCUCACUAUACUUACCUGAGUGGUAAUUUAUGCAUGACCGGAGGGUCUUGAUCAUGUUACUGACCGGAAGGUCUUAUUCGUGUUAUUGACCGGAUGGUCUUAUUUGCUUAUUCUGAGUUAUGUGUUGUUAUGCAUAUUGUCUUUGUGACUUAUGUUGUUAUAUUAUUUUUUUUAUAUGUUGAGCUAUGACCGGAGGGUCCGUACCGAGAUGUGAGACCGGAGGGUCUUCGCUGAGACACAUGACCGAAGGGUUCGUAUCGAGAUAUAGACAUAAGAGGCUAAUUAUUGUAUAUGUGGUAUCUUAGUGACUCAUUAAGCUUCGUGGUUACAGUGUCCGUGGUUCCAUAUGUAAGCACCUAAUCUCAGGGAUUAAGGCAUUUUUUUCAGGAUCCAACCCUUCAAGACGAAAACCUGGCCUCCAUGGAUGAUUAGGAUCCAGUUUACGUGCUUGAGUACCUAGUUUUUGGUUUUUGGUUUUUGGUUUUUGGUGGAGCUUGAGGAAGAAGAAAUAUCAUUUUGGUGCAAAGGACCAGCUUGGAAUCACCAUCUCCUUCAGAUUUAUGAGUUGUGUGAGGUAUAAAGCUCCCAUCUUGACCUUUGUUCUUCUUGAUGCUACUUUAAAUUGGUUUUGUAUGAUUUUGGUCCCUUUAUUGGAAGAUCUUGGAGCCUGAAGAACUCCAGAUCUUGUGAUGGAUUUCUAAGGUCUUUAGGAUUAUGAUGAAUAAUAAAAAGAUUCAUGGUUGGAGUUACUUUGUGUCCAUGUUCGAGGUUUGGCCUCGUUUAGGACUUAAUGGAUUUAGAACUGUAGUUCUUGCCUUGUGGUGGAUAAAGUUGAAAACUUUAUCCAUUAAGUCAUUGAAAAAUGACUAGAUCUAAAGUUAUGGGUUUAGAUCAGGAAGGAUUAAGCUCUUAAUGAAUAAUAUGGCCUUCUUCCGGGAACCACAACGUGGCAAAGGGCAUUUCACAUCGCAGUGGAGUCAUACACGUCAACUGUUUUAUCCUAUUAUGCCUAUGACGUGGACAUGAGGUCUCUACGUCAUGAUGACUAUUUCUCCAUACCGUGGUGAGUGUCUCUCCACGCCGUGGUGAGUGUUGACUUGUUUGACCGUUGAUUGUUGACUUUUAACCAGUUUGAUUUAGGUAAAAAUUAAAGGUAUUGGGCUAUUGAUUAAGGAUCUAUCUUUUUUUGGUGCUAGUUGGUUCAUGGGACCAAUCAGUGCAAGGAAUAAGUGUGUUGUUGAGUUCCUUGGGUUUUCAAUUCACAUAGGAUAACUUCAUAAUUGGUUGGUUAUAUCUCUAGAGUGGGAUUACCUGUUCGAAUGACUAUCUUACCUCUUAUUACAUAUAGUUAUACAUUCCUUGGAGAUUUGUCGGUUGUGGCGUAGUGGUUUUUAUGACACACUAUAUGCGGUAGUGGAUUGUUAGACAUGUAGACUAGUGUAGAUAGUUUCAUGUGUGUAUGUGUUUGUUUAAUUGCUUUUUUGAUCUAUAUGUUACAUAUCGGGUGGUGGGUUGAGGGCUUGAGGCGAUCCCGCUUUAUGCAGUAUGCUGGGAUACCCGGACAAGCUAGUGGUGUGUUGUAGGUCGGGUGCAAACCAGUUGUAUGUUGUAGGUGUGGGAGGGGGACCAAUCGUGGAGUGGAGGCCCAUAAGAGUAGUCCAGGUGUAUUGUAGGCCUCGCGAGGCGGUCCAGUAAGACUGAAGGAUCGUGUGUGUAUGUAUUAUAUGUGUAUUGCGGUGUGUGGUAUUUUGGGGGAACUCACUAAGCUUUGAGUAACAGUUGUGGAUUAAAUGUUUUUAGGUACCAUUGGUGAUCGUGGGAAGGCGAAGACGUGACUGUACACUCAUCAACAACAUUGGAGAUUCCUUAUUUAUUACAUUACUCUGAUUUUCAAACAAAAAAUUGUAUUUUAGAACAGCUGAGUUUUCUUAACCAAGGUUUUAUGAAAAUGAUGUUUUACCUUAAUUAAAAAUGGGAAAACAUUGUUUGUGAAAAUAUGACAUUACAUUUUCAUGAACAAAGGAGCACCAAAUGGGGUCUGGAACAGUCGUCAAAAAACCAACGUUCACGGCGGUGCGUGGCCUACCGACGGCGUGUGAGGGCUAUUUUGGCCCUCAUUUGGGGUUGUUCUCGUCGACGGGAGGUGUUGUUGGAUAUUGGGAAUAUUGGGGGUGGUGUAGGGUUGCAUUUUGGUGGGGGAACGGGGCUUCCACAAUUGUGUUCGACAGCCCUUUUUCUUCGUCGGCAAGGAUACCAGAGAGAGAGAGAGAGAGAGAGGACUAGAAAAAAAGGGGAUUAGAGAGAGGAUGGGUUAGAUAUUGAAUGAAUAAAAAUCAUAUUUUAGGAAGAGUUAAUAGAGAUUUUUGGAGAUUUUGGAGUACAUCUCCAUGAUAUUCCAUGAUUCAUCAUGAUGUCAUCAGUCGUUGCCUUGAGUCUCGUGCCACUCAUCCGAACUCAUUUUCCAAAAGUGUUUUUAGAUUUUAUCAAAUUUGUUGAGUUUAGAAAUUCAAACAAAAUUCAAAUCUGAUACAUGGAACUAUGUGAAAACAACGUUUAAAGUUUCGCGCUUAUAAAGUUCCAAUCUGACUGUUUUCGUGAGUUUGCCUAACUCCAGAUUAAAAAUAUCACAACAAUGAAUUUAUAUAUUUGACCUAAUUUUGAGUUCAAAAACACGCUCGAAAACUAUUUACGAAAUGUGUAGCUAUCCCAACGAAGCAAUACAAUGUUCUAUUCCGAAAAAACCAGUUAAAUACUGAUUUUUCAACCUUAAAAAUGUCUUGACUACUUCGUAUGAACUAUGUUUUCGACAUUCUAUAUAUUCAUGUGGUCGUGAUAACAUAAUCUCUCCAAUCUACUGAUUAAUUGUUCCUAAGUACACUUUAUUUUUAGGUCAUUAACAAUACUUAUCUUUGUGAAUUGUUUUCUGUUUAAUAAUGAUUGUCAACUUUUUGAGCGAUUUGAACUUGAAGUAUUCCAUGCACAAUUAUGAGUAAUAUAACUUCCACUCCAUCCAAAAACAUAGAACACCAUACAAUAUGUCCUAUUAUACUAGAGUUUGUGGUGGUUUGAUCGACGAACUUUACAUUUUUUUACCAAUUGUUACACACGGGUUCAUAUUCACGACUAUUACAACUUUCAUAUAGAUUAUUUAUUCAAAAUAAUAUUUUAACUAUCAACGUUAUUCAACACAAUUUGAUAAGUUUAUAAUAGGGUUUUAUACAAAUAUUAUAUAAUCAUAAUAUUUAUCCAUAUAACUUGUACGUAUUAUAUACAUAUAUACAAAUAACAUUUAUACAAACAUAUAUCAUGUACAACGAAUUAUUAUUUAUUUAUUUAAAAGAAAUUUUAUGUUAUUAGCUUACAUAAAUAAUGUCCUACGAAAUGUUUAUCAAAAAAAUGUGGGCGUUACACCAUACCUCAUAUAUUUUCCAAACUUAUAAAGUUUCUCUACAAUGUUUGGAGCGUAGGCAACUCUCCAGUGGGAAACCAUCUCAGCUUGAUGGUAAAACCUAUCCAUAAAGUAAAUUUCAAUUUCCUCUAGCAUUGUAGGAAGUGGUUUUCUCGUCAUAUUAAUGAUCAUGGCAUUAAAGCACUAUGAUAUACCAUUCUCUAUUGCCUCACAAGGGAGGAUCAACUAGUUAUGGGGCUCUAAGCAAACCAAAAUUUUAGGACCCUUUGACAUUUACUAUACUUAAUGUUAUAAACCCUCAUCUUUUAUCUGGGCUUAGGAUCGACAAUAAUAAACUAAAAAGAUUAUACCGGUUGUCUUGAGAUUUGAGAAUAGAACUAGAAGAUAAAUGGAAAGCUCAAAUCUAGAAAACUGAAAACUCAAAUGCUGAAAUUCGUUCCAACCCGAUUCACUCACUGAUUGUAUAUUUUGUAAAUGUAAUAUGUUGUAAUCAAUGAAAAAUGUCAAUGGAAUAAAAAAUCACAUAACUAAAAAAAUAAAAACUGAAAAGUUAUAAGUAUUAACCUUAAUCAAGUAAUCAGAUGACAACAAAUAAUGGAAAAAUUAAAAACAAAAAGUCAAACAAAUUCCACAUACCGAUUCAGUGACAGCCUUGAAUCACCAGAAUUCAGAAAAUUUUGAACAAUGGAGUUAUCAAAACUUGUGGAGAAGCCAAGAAUGGAUAAGGAAAAGUGUUUCGGUGGUUCAGAUGUUCAAGAAUCGACAAGAAGAAGAGCAUAAUCGCUAAUCAGAGUCCGAUAAUUUUGUGCAGCCCCUGAGAAGAAGAGAACAGUGAUCGUCGCUUGUAGAAGAAGACUAAACAGAUUGUGAGGCGUGUGCAGCGAGCAACGAUUCAAUAGAUAUAGAUUGGAUUGGAUAUUUGGGUUAAGUGGGGCCUCUAUAAGUUGUGUCCCUAAGCCCUAACUUUAUUUAUAAACACAUAAAGUCAACCUUGUUGCCUUAAAAUCAUACCCAUGAGAAAAGAAUGUUUUACACCAAGAAUGUGGAUUAGACAUGAUCCGGUCAUAGCCAGUUUGAGUUAUGUGCUUGAUUUUCUCCAUUAUAGCUAUAAAUUCCCCCUCGACAAUACGGUUGGCAGCUUUCCAAAACAAGUUAUUUAGUUCUAAUCCACUAUAUCUCUUCCCGAAGUUUACAAUGAUGUGUGUAACACAUUGUUUGUGCUUAACAUGUGGAAGUAGUUCUAUAACAGCUUGUAAUAAACGAUGAAAUAUAAAAGGACAAUUAGAUUAUAAAUGCAUACUAAUUACAUUAAGGAUACAUUAAUAUUUACCUUGUGUUGGUAUGAAAAAGUAACAAGACCCCUACCACCACCAAUAUCCAAAUCAACAACUAAAAGUUCAAUAAACCAAGCCCAAUUAUCUUUGUUCUUGACAUCAAUCAUUACCUAUGCUAUUGGAUAUACAUGGUUGUUUGCAUCUCUUUAAAUAUUAGUCAAAAGCUCUCACAUGAUCUGUGUCCCUUGAAGAAACACCCAUCCAAACAUAUUACACGUAUACAACUCAUAUUCCAACCAUCCCUAAAAUCCUUCAAACACACAUAAAACAUUUGGAAAUAGUUCAUGACACUUGUAUUAACUUAUACUCCAACCUUGGAAGUGCUCAUUGGGUUAACCUAAGGAUUUAUGCAACAUAAUCUCAUACCCUUGCAUACUGUUCCUUUAACCUACCUUAUGUCACAUUUCUUGCCUUUCUCAUAUCCAUUUAACAUUUCCUCCUUAUAUACUUGGACUGAAAACCUUAUACGUACAUCUCCAUUCAUCUCAUUCAAUGUCAUAUUAGGCUUCCUAAUUAUAUCCUUCAGGUGAACAGUUGCAACUAACGAAACAUCAAAACUUAUAAUUCCUAGCGCAUUGAUGUAUGUAACAUAUGGAUUUAAUUUGAAUAUGUUUUAAAGGUCUUUGGUGCAAAAUCCCAAAAGGAGAAGUCUACAAGAUCAUCAUCGAAGGCCUCGUCCCUUACAUAAAAAAUUUCCGGCCUUUUGACUUUUUUAGCCCAGACGACAAAGCCAUUUGUUUAAGAUGAAAAUCAGAGGUGUUAGUGACACUAUGGAACUCGAUUAUGGAAGGUAACAACACAAAAUACAUCAAUUUCUCAUUAUCAUCCAUGCACUUUCCUAGUUCCAUGUAUUUCAACUUCAAAAUGGAAGCUUUUGAAUGCAACAAUGGUGUUAGAAACCAUUUUCAAAACCCUUUCCUUCCAAGACCAACUGUGUGAGGUCCUUUUUUAUGCAGACAUUUCUACUAAAAUAUGAUGUUGGAAAGUAUGGAGCGUAUUUUGGAAAGGAUUGUGUUGCAUAACAAUGGUGACUGAUGAGGAGUUUAACGUGUUCUUAACCGCCUAAGGAUUUGAUUUUGAAACAUCAUCUCAAUUAUUAUGGCUAAUUAGAAACGAAAAAUCCAUUUAGGACUAACUUAUAAUCGGAAUGUAAAACUUAUAACUUUUAUGAUAAUAACCAAACUUUGAAAUGCUAAAGACUUACCCUUUGGGACUAGAUUUAUGCAUUUUAAACUCAACGACAGGAUUAAAAUUGUGAUUACCUGAUGUGCGAAUUGUUGCUGUUCUUGCUCCACUAAUUAAAGGCCAUUAACGAAUUGGAUGAGUGAAUAGGUCCAAUGUCAUGUUGUCUCUUUGUAUAAUCAGCGAGAAGAUGCAAUUUAAAAAACGGAAAUGGAUCAAUCAAUAGUAUUUGACCAUUAAUGUGUGCACACUGCAUAACCAUCAUUUGUGUCCAUUGCGUAUAAUCCAUAGCAAAUCCUACUGCAGAUCUGGAAGAUGUCUCCAUGGAUUUUAUUACGCAUCAUCGUCUUCAAGACAAGGUGUAGUAAAUGGCUAUGGUCUAACCAGUUUUACCACUUCAAUGCGAUACUGCUUCAAUAUAUGCGUUAUUGUCGCAAAAACAGAGGAUAAUGAAUACUUACAGUGAAAACAAAUCAAAUUUUGGAAUCGGAUACAAUUAAAAAAAAAAACUUUUGGAUUCGAUCUGUGGGUUUAAAGAAAUGCAAUUGGUAAAAAAAACACAUGUGUUAGAUACGAAAUAAUGCACAAAUUUGAUCAAAAUCCGUACGUUUAAUUUCAAUACGAGCUCUUACAUGACAAAGUUGAAACAUUUUUAAGUCGAUCUGUCUUUACAAUGAGUAAAAUAAAACCCUAAACCCAAAAUCUAAGAACUGGUAAAUUUUGUUACAGCCUUCGUCCCCUCAGAAACAGCAUGCUUUGCCAACUCUCCGGGCAAAACCAACCUCACAGCGGUCUGAAUUUCUCUGGAAGUGAUCGUGGGCUUCUUGUUGUACCUCGCAAGUUUCGAAGAUUCCUGAGCAAGCUUCUCGAAGAUGUCGUUGAUGAACGAGUUCAUAAUCCCCAUGGCCUUGCUUGAGAUACCGAUGUCAGGAUGAACCUGCUUCAAAACCUUGAAGAUGUAGAUCUUGUAUGUCUCCACGUUCUUCUUGCUUCUCUUCUUCUUCUUAUCGGUGGCACCGGCGCCGGCUUCCUUGGGAAGCUUCUUUCCGGCCUUUGGCUUUUUCUCGGCAGGGGAUUUUUCAGCUACGGCGGCUUUCUUCUCCUCCGCUGGCUUCUUCUCGGCUGGCUUCUUCUCUGCUUUGGGCGCCAUUGAAGGGAUUUUGUUUUGUAAAGAGGGAAUUUGAUGUUUAAAGAGAAAGAGAGAGAUGGUUGAAACGUGAGAUGAUGAAAAUGAAGGAAGAAUUUGUUGUGUUUAUAUGAGGAUUGAGAGGCGUUGUCUGAUUGGUUGAUUUUAGAUGUCCCGGAUUGUGCAUAGAGACCGUUGAUAUGUUCUGGUCCAUGGUUUUGCUUCAAGGGACGUGAUUUAAUUUGAGAAGUGAGUUUUUGUUGGCUUGACGCACGACGCGGAUCAACAUUUUGGCCCAUAUCCUAUUUUUCUUUAAUUUUUUUUAGGAAAUUACAAUAUAUUUAUUUAUACUGUAUUAUAAAAUAAAUUUGCUUUUUUAAAAUAGAUUAAAUAUAUCCAUACCCGACCCUUUUAAAUAAAGGGUUAGCGGAUACGGGUCGUUAACGGGUAAACGGAUCAAAUAAAAAAUUAUGCUCCAAACUCGUAUAAUUGAUAAGGGUUUGGAUUGAAUCAGGAUCAAAAUCCGCUCCGUUGUCAGACCUAUGUGUUUGACUUGUCGGAUGGUCAAGGCCAACCACCAGAGGUCGCAUGGCAAGCUGCAGUCAUUGGAGGUUCUCAUGUGGAAAUGGAAACAUAUCACUAUGGAUUUCAUCACCAAGUUACCUCGAACGGCUAAUGGAUUCGACGCGAUAUGGUUUAUCGUUGACCGUGUGACCAAUAGCACUCGCUUUUUGUCCAUUCGAGAAAGUUUUGCGGCCGAAAAAAUAGUCGGUUUGUAUGUGCGCGAUAUUGUUGCUUGACAUGGUAUUCUAGUCUCCAUUGUAUCUGAUCGAGAUGUUCGGUUCACAUCUCGUUUUUGGAAGAAGUUCCACCAUGAACUGGGUACGCGAUUGCAUCUUAGCAUUGAGUAUCAUCCGCAAACUGAUCGAGAUGUUCGGUUCACAAUAAUCCAGUCAUACAUAACCUACAUAUUAGAACCAAAAUUGAUUAAUACAAUAAAUUUCAAUAGAUCGCUCAAGCUAACAAUCGAAACAACAAAGAAACAAAACAUAAUAGAUUAUGAUGACACCAACGAAUGUUGCACCAUACUAAACUGAAGAACUGAUAACUGAAACCCCCAAUUUGGGAAAUCCAUAUGUCUCAUACCGUCCAUCCAAAAACUGCCAAGCCAAAGGUGCCACAUCCAAAACCGCACUAUCUGCUCCUAACGGACAAGCAGAAUCAACAUGUUCUGGCUGACUGCAAAAUAAACAUACAUUCGACUUCCCCGACUAUAAUCGCGAUUAAAAUGACCCUCAUGAUCGCGCCUAAAACAUGCAGAAACAAAAACGCAUCAAAUAUCCCAAUGAAUCUGACCACACUCCCCAUACAACCUGUGGGUCUCUCGAUCUCCUGCCCGAAAGCCCGCCACCCCAGCCUUUUUGGUUGUCGUUGCAAAUGCAUGAACUUGAUCCUGCUUUCUCUUCUGUUGCUGAAUCUCCAACUACAACUCUCUCUCCCAGGCCGCCUCCACCAAACUAGAGAGAGUCUUAUGACUCGAGAUACACACACGUUCCCAAAUUGAGAUUUUAAUCAUCUUUAGUCAAGGAUAAGAAAUUAUAGUUUAUUUCAAUUCUAAAAGCUUAGAUUGAGAUUUUAAUCAUCUUUAGUCAAGGAUAUAUAUAUAUAUANNNNNNNNNNNNNNNNNNNNNNNNNNNNNNNNNNNNNNNNNNNNNNNNNNNNNNNNNNAUGAAUUUUAUGUUAGAAUGGCUCAACAUAAGGAAAUUCCAUAAAUAUUACGUUCUCAAAAUUCGAUUAUGAUUACGGCAUCCCUCUUCAUAGUCAAAUUAUGAAAACAUGGAAAAUAAAAAAAAAUAUUGUAGCAGAAGACUGGUCUAGGAUCAUGUCUUCAUGUGAGACAUCAUGAAUCGUGCCCCAUAUGCUUCGGAUAUAGGAUCGAUUACAUGUGCUAUAAUAUUUAUACCUUCUAAAUUUUCCAAAUGCCUAUGGCAUUAAGAGGGGCAAAGGUCUAGAAUUGGAUAUGACUAAAAUGAUUAAGCAAUUGUUGAGGAUAAUCUGAGGUUUACCAGAGAUUGGUUGCUCAUGGACAGUUGGAAGUAUGGUGUUAAAUUUUGGAGAGGAACCAUAUUGACAUGUUCUGAAAAGAGGCGACUCUUGUUUAGAAGUGAUAGUCAAAACGGGAAUAUGGAAAUGUUUUUCCAUAUUGGGAGUUGGAUAUUAAGAAACUAUGAGAAAGUUAGAAACUUUAAUUAAAGAAGGAUGUUCAAAGGAAUGUACUUUGAACUUGAGAUUUCGUCACCUUGGAAUUGUCGUGUAACAAUUUCCAGUUGAAUCUAUUGUAAUAGUGUUGGUCAAGUCUUUGUGACUCUUGGUGCCUAGACAUUACAUAACAAUAUUGCAUAAUAGUGUAUAAUCUAACACAUUUGAGCAGUGAUAAGAGUUUGGAAUUCUUACACUUACAAUAAAGAUUUGGUAUUGUGAAAUGAGCAUCAUUGGAAUCAUGUUCAAUUGAUAUAUUUCACAAAGUAAGGAUCGUAGACAAACAUAGUGUGCAUACUUGGAGUAUGGCAUAACUAUCGUUUACGAAAACAUGGUGUACAUGCUUGGAGCAUGGGACAACUGUUGUUUUAAUUCAAGUAUUAAGUUGAUUAUUUGAAACAUUAUGCAAUGAAUAAUGUGUAAUCAAUAUGGUGAUAAAUAAAAGGUGUUCUAUUUAUAUUCAUAAGUUUUGAGACCACAUUAGAUUCGAUUAUUCUUAUGUUUCCCUUUCAAUGUUUUGACUUCCAUAAUAGUUGGGUUAUUCUUUCCGGAUGACCAAGUUAUUUAAAUCCUCCACAGUCAGUCAUAUGUUGGAAGUAGGUAUGAAUCAAGAUUGUAAUGAAUUGGGCUUGUAGAUGUCUAAGAUGUUAGACAUAGUAAAAGUUGCUACAACAUUCAUGAGUGCUCAUAAGUUAUGAGUAUUGUAUUAAACCCACAAUCACUUGUAUCACUUCAUAGAAUUUAUCUCAAGUGACUGUAAGACGGUAAUAUCAUAUAAGUCUUCAAAACUAGAGAUACAAGUUGUUGCUUAUGAGUUGGUUGUACAUUGAUUGCGCGAAAACACAUCAUUAACUUGAUGUUAUAAAAUGUGUCUUUUGUAUAAAUAAACAAGUAGUAGAGCAAACAUAUGAGUCGAAGUUUAUCUGUUCCUUUUAGUCCUUGGAGGAUUAGAAGCGAUAUAUGGGCCCCUCGAUGAUUUUGUUUUGACCUAUGUAUCGGGCCCGGUCAGAACCAAAUUGAUGUGUUCAGUUUAGGUCUAUGUCAAACAAAUCGGAAAUCAGGAAACAAACUGCUGGACAAUAAGUAUGACGUUGUUCCAUGUAUUUGUCCGGCUGAUAUCUAGAACAGAGGAUUAUAUGAUCACUUAUCUAAAACGGCGCUUCGUAGUUCAAGAAAGUUUUAAGAGCUACGAUUCAUGGUCGGAUCCUGAAGUCAUGCUUGCAACCGUAGUUAUUAAAUUUAUCCAAGUGGGAGACUGUUGGAUAAAGUGUCUAAGUCCAUAACUAUAUUUGAGAUGUACUUGACCGACCCAACAUGGUCCAUUUGGGUUGCACUUCACCAUAACAAUUUGGAUAGUCUUUUGAGAAUAGUAUAGUUAUGAUUUGUUAAUAUAUUAUAAGUUAUAAUAUAUUAAUAUGAAAUCAUAUUAUUUAAUUAGUAUUGAUCUAUAAUUAAUUUGGAAUUAAUCUAGUGAUCAAAAGGUAACUAAUUAAAUAUGGACUCUUAUAUUUAUAUAAAGUGGGUUAAUGCUUGUUUAGAAUGGGUUAAGCUUGCUUGGAAAGUCCAUGGAUAGUCCAUGGAGCUUUAACCCAUGGAUCUUAUGGAAAUGAAAGGUCAUGGGUAUUAGGGUUUACAUGGAUGUAACCCUAAUCCACCACACUAUAUAAAUAGGUCCUUGGCACAUGAAAUGACACUAGUGUAACGCCCGUGUUUCUGGGCUUGCCAUUUUUAGCAAUGUAAUAGUCUAGUUAACCUUUGUAACCUAAUUUGAAAUAAUAAGAACAUAUCAUUUGAGUAUUAUGUGUUUCGUGCUUAAUUGCUUAAUUAUGUGAUAUGAUGAAUUAAGAAUAAAAUGAGCGUCAGAAUUUAAGUGUAAAAUAAACUUGAUAUCAUUGGAUAAUGUUGUAGUAGUUGAAACGAGGUUUCCGAAUAUAUAUAGAACUCCCAAAUCUGACUUCGUAUGAGGAAGUUAUGAUUUUCUGAAGUUUCGAUUGGGCAGUAUGCAGCUUGAAUACUCGAUUUGAGAUCGAGCGGUUUUUAGCCGAAACAAUCUAAACGAGAAUCGAAGAUCUCGUUGUUAGUAGCGAAACGAUGAAAAGUUAGGCAAGAACGGACGUCGGACGAAGAAGUUAUGAAUUUAUAACAAAGUUUUUCUGUCCCGGCCUACUAAAAAUAAAUAAUAAAAAUAAAGUCAAAAUUAGCCGACGGAGUCUAAACAAAAGUUGUAGAGCGUAGUCUCACCUACGCGUGGAUAUAAAGAACGUCGAAAAUGGAGUUCGUAUGAGGGAGAUAUGAAUUUUCAAAGUUUAUUAGAUAUUUAAUAUUUAAUUUUAAUUCAAACUUCCGAUAUUAUCCGAAGAGGAGUCAGCGGACUCAUCCGAAGUACGCCCAGCGUGACGAAGUCUAGCACUCGAGUACCUCCGAUGAUGCAGGCAAUGACGAUUUGGCAGUACGCCCCGCGUACCCCGAAGUUAUGCCCAGCGUAACCCCGAGGAUCAACCCUAUAAAAGGGGAUGCGAAGCCAGCUUCUUUCCUUUUCAAAUUUCUUCAUUUUUCUCUCAUCUUUUGCCUCGUUUUGCGUGUCGUUUAUGUUGGGUUUUGAGCAUUCUAACACUCCUAAGUGUACAUGCAACCCUAAAUACCUUGGAUCUAUGUUUUAUCUAUUAUACAUGCAAAUAUGAACAUCCAAGGUAUUAUCCUAAUCUAAGCUAUAAAACAUUGAAUAUAACAAGAUAGAAUACAUACCUAUUUGAUGUAGAAUGUCUUCAUGAAGCUUGAGUGCCUAGUGCCCCAAGUGUGACACCUCAAAUGGUUCACACAACACCGAAUACAAAUGGAAUGACUUGAGAGAACUUCACACUUCAUGAAAAUCGGCUAGCCCUUUCUUGCUCUCACUAGUGGCCGGUUUUGUCAAGAAUAAGAUAUUUAUAUAGAGUUACAAUUAGGGUAAACCCUAAUUGUCAUGACUUUCCAUUUCCUUGGAUCCAUGGGUACAAAUACACCAUGGAGCAUCCAUGGACCAUCCUAUGGGUUUUAGCCCAACUUGAUUAUCCAUGGAGCAUUAGCCCACUAUACAAGUAUGGAUGAUUUACACAAUCAACCCAUAUAUUUAAUUAGUCUUCUUUUGAUCACUUAAUUAAUCCUAGAUUAAUUCUUGAUCAAUACUAAUUAAAUAAUCUUAUUAUUCUUAUUAUUAAUAUACUAGAACUUAUAAUAUAUUAAUAACCAUAAGUGUAUUAUUUCUCCCAUUAUAGUCUAUCCAAGUGCAUGAUGCCAUGCAACCCAAAUGGACCAUGCCGGGUUGGCUCAAGUCUUACCAAUUAUAGUUAUGGACUUAGACAUUAAUCCAACAAUUUAUACCCCGAAGCCCCGAUAAUAUUCCCGAGCCCCGAAGCAAGAUCCGAAGCCCUGAGAAUCCCAAAGAGCGUUAUUCCCGAGCCGAAGCCCUGCCCGCGAGGAGCCCGGUUUUUGUGAAGAUCUUCCAGAUCUACGGAGAAACAUUACUUCUGCAAGCCGUAGUGCUGCCCGUUCAUCUUCUGAUCAAGUGAGUGUGUAGUCAUUUUCUUCCAUCACAAUAUUAUGAAGUAUUUUAUAUAAAAUACGUGCUACGUGUAUAUAUUUUGUUGUUAUAUGUGUGAAUGUAUAUUCACUUUCUUCUAUCUCAUAGAUCUGAUUUAUUAUCUAUGAAAUACGUGUUAUGUGUGUAUGCUUCAUCUGUUAUGUGGAAUAUGUAUUGAUUAAAGCAUGUUAUACAGGUUCUUAAACUAUGUAUAAAAAUGUAUAUUUUUAUCUACUAAUGUGUUGGGUAGAACAUGGGUAGAUAGUUGGUGUGUAAUAAACAGAUGAGAGGCCUCGAUGUUGUUGGUGUUAUUCUAGUCAUUCAGUAGAGUAUGGAUGACGAUCACGGACUAUUCUAGACUGUCCUGUGGAACACUAGCAGACUCAUAACCUGUAGGUGUUGUGAACGACGUGUUCACCGGUGUGCUCUAUCCCCCUCAUGGUUGCCUUUAGGAUAUUUAUUGCUAAGGAAUCCCCUUUGCAGUAAUGUCCGUCCCGAUGAAAAAUCCUAGAUUAGGUCCCUUAUAAUAGAUGUUGUUUUAGGGACGUAAAGUGAGGAUAACGGGAAUGGGUAAUCAGGUUUAUUGUUGAUUGUUAAAUUAAAUAUUUUUUGUGGGUUGAAAACCCUAUAUGCUCACCAGGCUCCCAAGCCUGACCCACUCAGCUUAUUUGUAUUACAGGAAGUGGCGCAAGAGCUUAAGAUGGACGAAUCAUCAAGUUGUUUUGUUUACAAGUCUGUAUAUGUAUACAUUGUUGAAUGACUUGUAAUGUUAUCGUUUAUGCUUUAUGAUUUGUAUCGGAACAUGACAUCCCGACUCUUGAUUAUGAAAUGAAAUCAUAUUCCUUGUGAAAUGUUUGGAUAAAUAUCUAUUUUAUCAUGUUUUGUUUUUGGGAACAAAUUCCGCAUCUCUUUCAAAAUUAAAAAGGAUUUACUCUGAAAAUGUUUAAAAAACAUAAAUGAAAUUGGUCUUUUUUGGCCGAGAUUUUGGAGAUGUCACAACUAGUGUGUGAGAAAAACCAAUGGUGGGCCGAUUUCUAAGUGUGCAUACUAUUCUAUCAAGUUUUCCAAGUUGUGUAGUGAUUUGUGAUUCCAUUUGAGGCAUCCACAUUAUUGGUGUUAGGAUCUCAAAACUCCAAGCAAUCAACCACAAGAAAAUGUAUGUUAUUCUACUAGUCUUUUAUGCUACAAGUACCCCUUGUCAUGUUAGUUAGGAUGAGAACUUUGGAAAAUUCUUAUUUGCAUGUAUUUUAGAAAAAAUAUAGAUUCAAGUUUUCUAGGGUUGCAUGUACAUCAUAGGAGUGUUAGAAUACUCAAAACCCAUGAUGUACAUCGUAAGUCCUGUAGUUAUAACCAGAGUCUCCUGGAGGGAGAGCGAGAUAUUAUGUAUAGAUCUAUACGGGGUUGACAUCCCCCACGCCUGAGUUGUUCGCUACAACUAGGCAGGCCAAUUUAGGGUGACAAUUAUCUUUAGAAACUGACGCCUGAAGAACGUCAAGACAGGCGCUCUCGUCACAUUAGUAUGGUUUCAACAACUCACAUAGAGAAUAACAAUAUUAUUUUAAAAUUUACACAAAACAUACACUCAACAUGUUUUACAAAGUAUAAAACUAUGUGCUGACUAUUUUGCAUUAAUCUCACCACUUUGGUCUUAGGGUUUUAAGGCCACAAUAUUUCGUAUAACAGAAAAUAUAGGAUUUUCUGUAGACACUCUCUAUAAAAUUUUCAAACAAGGUAAAGAAAGUAUACACAUGAUUUGGAACAAGACUCUCAAACUAUUAUUACAAAAAAUACUGGAGUUUCUGGAAUUUACAAACUAUUACAAAGUUUUUCUUACAAAAAUGCUUAUGAACUCACCAACAUUUUAUAUGUUGACGCUUUUCAAAAUGACUUGUAUUCUCAGGAACACAGUGAGCAGGUUUUUCAGCAGUGGACAUUGACAUUUGUCUUAUUUUUGGAUUAUCAUACAUUAUGUUAUUUUGGAUGUAUUUCCAUGAACAAACACAAAGAUGUAAACAAUGCAUGUUGAUAUCGUUAAUGUAUGAUGAUGAUGGUUGCUAUGUUUCAUUCAUAUUCAAUUGUUAUGAUAUUACAAGAUGAAGUCACCCGCCCCCGGACGUUGUCGCCGUCCCGGUUCGGGGGUGUGACAUUGUAAAGGAAAACCCUAAUUUUUAGGGGCUGCACCCUAUUUAAAUAACAUAAUCCGCCUCUUGUGGACUCCCUUACCACCCUGAUAGCCAUAGAAAACCCUAAUUAGACCUUGCACCUUCUUGAGUGAGAGAAAGAGCUUUUGUGAGCAUUUUUGGUGUGUUUGUGAAAGAUUUCAAAGCCUGGAGAAGAAGGAGCAAGGAGAGAAGCAAUAGAUCCGACAUCUACACUGUAUUGGCCACCAUCGUGAGGUAUAAAGUCGUUACCUUGAGCUCUAGUUGGUUAGAUCCCUUUUCUUGGAAGUAGAUGGCCAUUUUUGGUGCAAAGUAGGGUCAUACUCGAAUCUGGACUUAUCAAAAGGAUAUGGUUCCAGAUAUGGACCUCUAAAGGUCCCUAAUGACAUAAAGUUGCUCACUUUAUCUGGCUUAGGCCUAUCCAUGCACAAGAACAUUGUAAGAAGCUUAGUUUUGAUGCUUUAGCCUUGUAAGGCCUUGCAUUCACGUAAAGUUUGCAACUUUACGUGGUAACUACACUAGGGAAUAGUGGAUCUGGAGUUUGGGACCUUAGAUCCCAUUGAAAAGGGCUGAACACAAAAGGGACUGAAGGAACUCGUCAAGUCCCUUAGUUGACUCGACGAGUUGGGUAGGGUUUACCCGUUUUUUAGAUUCAGAAUGAGUGCAGUGAAGGAUUAGGGUUUGGGGACUGCAUGAGCUUUUAGUUUAGUGGACAUUUGAUGAACUCAAUGAGUCACUUAGGUGACUCGACGAGUUAACAUAGGAUUUAGUGGAAUGGACUCGGAUGAACUCGACGAGUUGCUAGGAUGCACUCAACGAGUUGAGGUCAACAUGAAUUGUUGACCUUAACCGUUGACCUUGACUUUGACCACGGUUGACUUUAAAAGUAUUUACGGGAUUAUGACAAGUUAAUCAUAUGUUGAUUAUAGGCAGUUGAAGAGGAGGAGUGCGUGAGAUAUAUCUGAUCUUAGCUUGUCAGUUCAGCACUCGAGAGGCGAGUCUCCUCACCAUAUCAAUAGAUCUAAGGCACCAAGGGCGGUCUAUUAUUGUUAUGAGUUAUGAUUAGUUGGUUGUGGGAUAUGUGAUAUGCUAGUUAUUUGUGAUACUCACAUGAAAGACCUCGAGGUGUUCCCAAGGCACUUAUAUGUAAUACCUUAAAGGGUUUCCAUGGCCUUCUAGUAUAUUUGUUUGUGUAGUUUGUAUGUUCGUACUCGAUUGUAAAGACCGUGUGGGGGUUCCUACGAUAGGAAGACCAUGUGGGGGUUCUCAUGGCAGUUAGUUAAGACCAUGUGGGGGUUUCCAUGGCAGUUAGUUAAGACCACGUAGGGAUUCCAGUGGCACUAGGUGUAAGACCCUAGAGGGUUUCCAUGGCUUCCUUAUAUGUUCGUAUUCAUGGCUUAUAUAUGUAGCUUUUAUAGCUAAUAUGAUAUGUGUUAUGUGGAUUGUGUGUGAGGUAUGCUCUCGGGAACUCACUAAGCAUUAGCUUACAGUUUUUGGAUUUGUUUCAGGUACAUCCGAGCCAAAGGGCAAGGGCAAGGCUUGAUGGCGCGACGUGCACUCUCUCUCAGGCGUUAUUAUGGGACACUCUAAUGUUUUGAAAUAAAAUUGUUGUUAUCACGAAUUUGAAAACAAUUGUAUUGGGAUUUCAGGAUUUGUGGAAAGUAUUUUGGUAAAUUAAAAAUGAAAAUUUUCUUUUGAAAAAUUGGGUUGUUACAUAUUACAUAGUUAGUUGAUGUAAACCUGAGCUUAGCAUGGGACUCUUAACACUCUCCCACUUCGUGCUUCAUUUUUUUCCAACGGAUAUAUGGAUCGUAAACCCUAUACUCUACACUCACUUUAACAAUAUUUCCUCCAUCGAUGUGAUCAUGAAAUGAGUCAUGGACACCAUUUUUGUUAUCAACAUUUCCCAUUCCAUAAAAAGUCCUACUUAAUAUAUUUUCAUCAUAUAUUAUGUUAACGACUGGUUCAUUGUAGAGUUUUAAAUAAUUUUUAAAGGUAUCUUGUGUAAAAUCCCCGAAUGAGAAGUCUACAAUAUCAUCAUCAAAGUCCUCGUCCCUUACAUAAAUAUUUUCAGAACCUUUGACUUUUUUAGCCCAAAUGAAAAAAUAAAGGUGUUAGUGACACUACAAAACUCGAUUAUGGAAGGUAACAACAUGCAAACACAUCAAUUUCUCAUUAUCGUCUAUGUACCUUUAUAGUGCAAUGUAUUUCAACUUCAAAAUGGAAGAUUUUACAUGCAACAAUGGUGUUAUAAACCAUUUUCAAAACCCUCGUCUUCCCGAUAUCAACUGCAUGAUGUCCUUUUUAAUGCAAAUGCUUAUGCUAAAAGACAAUGUUGAAGAGUACGAAGCAUAUUUUGAAAAUGAUUGUAGUGUAUAACACUCGUGACCAAUGAGGAGUUUAAUUUGUUCUUAACCGGCUAAGGAUUUGAUCAUCAUCUUAAUUAUUAAGGCUAAUUAGAAACAAAAAAUUCAUUUAUGACUGAUUUCUAAUCGCAAUGUAAAGCUUAUAAUUUUUAAGAAAAAACGGCAAGAUUGGUCUCUCUGGUAUUCAAAAAACAUCAAAAAUGUUUUCCGCUUGUAUAGAAAGUCCAAAAUCAAGAUUUUCAUAUGGUUUUGGUCCCAGUAAAAUUGAAAAGAACAAUUAUGCCCUUUCUAAUUUAUGUUUUCCAUUUUUUAUCUUUAUGUUAAUACUUUUUUAAUUUAAAAAAAAGGGAACCAGCUAACCCACCCAUCUCUCUCUCGUGUGUGUGUGUGUGUUUGUAUCUAAAUGGGUGCUCCUAAAACCAUUAGAACACAUCAAGCUUUUCAUCUCCCUUCCCUCCCUCUCACCAGAAAAACUUUAAUUAUGAGUUAAUAAGAAGCACUUUAAUGGUGUUAUCUAAGUUAUAGAGGAAAUAAAUAUGUGAUUGUUGAUUUGUUUUCUUCUGUUUCGUAUUUGUUCUGGAGUCCGAUAAUCAAAGGCAUCUGUGUGUAUGUCUAUGUUUUAAUCUACUGUAUGUAUGUGUGUGUUAAAUACAGUCGAUUGAUCCCCUUAAUCAGAGGGUGCCUAGUCGAUUUAUCCCAUAAUUUGAACCCUAAAACGCAAUUUCCUCCAAGACUUAUUUGGUUUGUGGGCAAGCUAAAGGGGGUGCUGAGAAGUGAUAUCCAUGAAUGCUUCUGCAAAAACAAUUCCUUCGCCAUUAUAAUCAACCGGAAGAGAAUCUAUGGAACUUUUGAUCACCGAUAUUGGAGAGAUAAAGAAUGUGAUUUGGGGUGGGGUGGGGCUGUUGGGUUUGAUCAAACUUGACUACUUCUGUGAUACUUGAUAACACCCGAUUCCCUUUCAACAACCCACCACCCCAUUAUCUUACCCACAAAUGGAUUUAAAGAAACCUCGAUACUGAAUAGAUUCACUCUCGAAGAAACCCAAAUUGAUUAUGUUCGAAAGGAUACCACAUACCAGACCCAUUUAGAAGUCGGUGCUUCCUCAAAUAUUGUUGUAUUUGACCAAUUCGAUUGGUGGGUGCAGUUUUGUAUCUUUGAUUCAUAUAUUACAUGGGUUUCCUUUCUUUUGGAGAAUCGUGGUGGAUGCCAAAAAAAAACCGGAAUGGAUCAAUCAACAGUAUUUGAUCAUGAAUGUGUGCAUAACUAUCAUUUGGCUCCAUGGCGAAUUGCAUCGGUGUAUAAGUAAAUGCUUUCGUUUAACCAGCAUUGCAAUUUCAUUCAGAUGCUACUUCAAAGGAUGCGCUAUUGUUGAAAAGACAGAGAUCGGUUAACAGUUACAGUGAAAACUGAUCAGAUUUCGGAAUCGGAUACAAUCGAAAAGGAGAAAACCUAUGAAUUCGAACUGUGGGUUUAAAGAAAUGCAAUCGGUAAACAAUACAUGUUUUAGGUACAAAAUAAUGAACAAACGUGGGCAAAAUCAAUACGUUUAAUUUCAAUACGAGCUAUUACAUGACAAAGAUAACAUUUUUAAGUCGAUCUCUCUUUACAAUGAGUAAAAUAAAACCCUAAACCCAAAAUCUAAGAACUGGUAAAUUUUGUUACAGCUUUCGUUCCCUCAGAAACAGCAUGCUUUGCCAACUCUCCAGGCAAAACCAAUCUCACCGCCGUCUGAAUUUCCCUGGAGGUGAUCGUGGGCUUCUUGUUGUACCUCGCAAGUUUCGAAGAUUCCUGAGCAAGCUUCUCGAAGAUGUCGUUGAUGAACGAGUUCAUAAUCCCCAUGGCCUUGCUUG
rnacentral:lncRNA from 1 species